UAAUUUUUGUACUUUUUGUAGAGACAGGGUCUUGCUAUAAUGCCCAGACUGGUCUCAGACUCCUGGGCUCAAGUGAUCCGCUGCCUUGGCCUCCCAGAGUACUGGGAUUACAGGCAUGAGCCACCACACACAGCCCCAUGGCACUACCUUAAAUGAGCUUGUAGCGGGCUUGCAUGGUAGAAGGUAUUUCAGGACCUUGUGAAUUCAGGAUCAUAGAGUCUGACCAGGCUCAAAUGAUUUUUUUAAAACCUGUAUUAUUAAAUACAGUGUCUUCUUUCUCAAAAACCUAAUGAAAAACAGGCAAACACAGACAAAAACAGAGAAGCAAAGCACUGCUCAGUAAGGGUGCUCAGAGCACCCUGCUUCAGGCAUGUGUGGAGAGGGACCUCCAGGGCUCCCGCCAGUGUGGCCUCACUACUCAGGAGCAAGAAGAGAGGGUCUCAGGUCACACUCUGCAAAGGGCCUGGGUCAGAGGACAGCACCCCCGCCCCCUGACGCUGCAGGAGGGUGAGUC
rnacentral:lncRNA from 1 species